rnacentral:rRNA from 1 species
UGGCUUAAUUUGACUCAACGCGGGAAAUCUUACCGGGUCCGGACACACUGAGGAUUGACAGACAAAUAUAGAAAUUUUAUAUUUCUCAUAUAUAAAGAUGCUAGUUCUUUCAUGAUUAUGUGAUAGGUGGUGCAUGGCCGUUCUUAGUUCGUGGAGUGAUCUGUCUGCUUAAUUGCGUUUCAAUUUUUAUUAUGUAUACGUAUGACCCACGUUUACGCGUGCGAGUCUAGUAUGCUAUCAUUUGAAAGCAACGAACGUGACCGUAUCCUUUUAUUAUAUACGCACGCGUAUAUUUAUUCAUUAAAGGGACCGCUGUUUCUUUUUUUAAACCAGAGGAAGGUUACGGCAAUAACAGGUCUGUGAUGCC